CAGUCGCCGCGGUAAUACGAAGGGGGCUAGCGUUGCUCGGAAUGACUGGGCGUAAAGGGCGCGUAGGCGGUUUGUCGAGUUAGAUGUGAGAUUCCCGGGCUUAACCUGGGGACUGCAUUUGAUACUGGCAGGCUUGAGUGUGGAAGAGGGUCGUGGAAUUCCCAGUGUAGAGGUGAAAUUCGUAGAGAUGUGGGGGAACACCAGUGGCGAAGGCGACUCUCUGGUCUGUAACUGACGCUGAGGAGCGAAAGCGUGGGGAGCGAACAGGAUUAGAUACCCCGCGUAGUCCCUGUCUCUUAUA
rnacentral:rRNA from 1 species